CUCUGUCAUGCUGGACACGCGCCGCCGGAAGCAGGCGCGGGAGCAUCUCAUCGCCACCAUGGAUCCGGAGCUGCGCGCCUACCUCGAUCGUCUGGAUUCCAACGCCAACGACCGCGCCGCCGCGGCCGACGCCAAGUACGACUCCAUCAUCGAGGGCCUCGACGCGCAGACCGCGAGGAUCGACUCGCUGGCCGCCUGGAAGCCGGAGCUCGAGGCGAGGUUCGCGAAACUGGAGCUCUCUGUUGCGGCCCUACAAGCCGCCUCAACGGCGACCGCUCCAUCAAGUGGAUCCCCGCCGCCCGCAUCUCCUUUCGCGGCCGCGAGCGACAGCCAUAGGCAAUCAGGCCACGGCGCACCACUACACACCGGGGGGACUUCGUCGGUGACCCCUGAGUCACCGGCGUCUCCCCCGGUCACGGGUACGGUUGUGAUUCCGUCUCAAUUUCCAUCUCCGCUGUCAUCACAAGUGCUAGCAUCACUCGGGCAAGCACCACCGCCGAUGACUUUCCCGGUCUUGGUCGGAGAGAACCCACAACUCUGGAAAACACUGUGUGAACAGUAUUUUCAGAUGUUCAUAGUGCACGACUCCUAUUGGGUUCCAAUGGCGAUCCUGAAUUUUUCGGGUGCCGCCGCGAUUUGGUUGCAGUCAGUGCAGCGCAAAAUCGCUGGUCUCAAUUGGGAAUCCUUCACAGUGCUGCUGUGCACGCGGUUCGGCCAUGAUAAACACCAGUUGCUUAUCAGACAAUUUUACUCUAUUCAUCAGACUAGUUCAGUAGCUGAUUUUAUAGAGAUUUGAAACACUGAUGAAUCAUAUGAUUUCAUACUCGGAACUGACACAUCAUUACUUCUUUCUUACACGCUUCAUCGAGGGUCUGCAUGCGGACAUUCGGGCGGUCGUGCUCAUUCAGAGACCACCCGAUCUCGAUACAGCUUGUUCUCUGGCACUGCUCCAGUAGGAAGUUGCAGAUGGUGAAGUGUUCGGGCGCACUCAACACAUGCGAACCCCACCGGCGCGUGCCUCUCUGCCAAGCACGCUGCUCCCAGCCACCAGUACAACGCGAACAACAGUCCCACCUACUGGUGCUGAAGAUCGUCGCGGCAUUGAAGCAGCAAGAGCAAAUUCAGACAGUUCCAAGAUCUCUGCACUUCGCACUUUCAGGCGUGCUCGUGGGCUCUGUUUUAAGUGUGGAGAACGCUGGGGUAAGGAUCACACCUGCCCAGCCACUGUCCAGAUGCAUGUGGUCGAAGAACUCCUGGCCUUAUUUGCUACAGAAGAAAUGUCAGGGGAUGCCCAACAGGAGCACGCUGACAGAGAUGAUGAUAACCUAUGCACGAUAUCGAAACAUGCAGUGGAUGGAUCUGCCGGCCCAGGGGUGAUGCAGUUACAUGCUUGGAUUCAGGGGCAAGAAGUCUCACUGUUGGUGGAUUUAGGCAGCUCCUCAUCUUUUGUUGAUCAUCGCCUGGCCACCAAGUUGCAUGGAGUCUGUAAACUGAACAAAACCUGUAGGGUCAAAGUGGCGGAUGGGGGAUGGCGCAAUACUAGUCUGCAACAUUUUCAUUCCUGAUUGUUCCUGGACAUCACAAGGGCAUGAGUUUGUUACUGACUUCAAAUUGAUUUCUUUGGGUGCAUACGACGCCAUCUUGGGCAUGGACUGGCUGAAGAAGCACAGCCCUAUGCAUAUCGAUUGGGAGGAGCAGCACAUGACAGUCAACACAGACCGAGGAGCAGUGGAACUUCAGGCAGUGUCUAACAGUCAACAUCAGUGCUCUGCUAUUUCAUCUCAAGAGCUCCUAUCAGCAUGCAAACAAGGCUCGGUAGCUUAUGUGGUUCACUUGAAUGCAGUGAGCGAAACUGGUGCAUCAGAGGAAGCGAUACCGGUGGAAAUCCUCAGAGUAUUGGAGCAGUAUACGGAUGUCUUUGAAGCACCCAAGGGACUACCUCCACGGCGUGCUUGUGAUCAUAGGACCCCACUCAUGGAGGGGGCUCAGCCUGUUAACAUGCGAUCGUAUCGCCACAAACCGGAGCUCAAGAACGAAAUUGAGCGUCAGGUCAAGGAACUGCUGGAUGCCGGUGUCAUCAGAGAGAGCACCAGCCCCUUUUCCUCUCCAGCACUGCUCGUUAAAAAGAAAGAUGGCACAUGGCGAUUGUGUGUGGACUAUAGAUGCUUGAACGCCAUGACAAUUGUCAGCAAGUACCCAGUGCCCAUUAUCGAUGAACUCCUCGACAAAUUGGUAGGUGCCAAAUGGUUCUCUAAGUUGGAUCUGCGCGCAGGCUACCACCAAAUACGGCUGGCAGAAGGAGAGGAGUACAAAACGGCAUUCACCACACACUCUGGUCAUUGGGAGUUCCUCGUCUUGUCAUUUGGAUUAGCAGCUGGACCUUCCACGUUCAUCGGAGCUAUCAACUGCACAUUGCAACCUCUGUUGAGAGUCUGUGUCAUUCUGUUCUUCGACGACACCUUAGUCUUCAGUAAGACUCUGGCUCAGCAUGUGGAAGACUUGAGACAAGUGAUGCAGUUGCUACGACGAGACCAGUGGCACGUGAAGCAGUCCAAGUGUGCUUUCGGGCAGCGCCAGAUUGCCUACCUGGGGCAUGUGAUCGAUGAACAUGGUGUCUCCACAGACCUGAGCAAAAUUGAAACUAUCAAGACCUGGCCCACCCCACGCAACAGCAAAGAAGUGCAAAGUUUCCUAGGAUUGGCCGGUUACUACCGAAAGUUUGUCAGGCAUUUCGGCAUCAUCGCUAGACCUCUUUUCAAUCUACUCAAGAAGAACCACCCGUUUGUCUGGACGACAGAGACUGCCAGGGCAUUCACACUCCUGCAGCAAAGCCUCGUAUCAGCACCAGUUUUGCAACUACCUGACUUCACCAAGCAGUUUGUCAUUGACACGGAUGCUUGUGAUUAGGGCGUGGGGGCAGUAUUGCAACAAGGUGGGCACCCAAUCGCUUACAUGAGCAAGCCGCUCGCUCCUAAACACAGAGGUCUAUCGACGUAUGAAAAAGAAUGCUUGGCCAUCCUCAUGGCAGUGGAGCAAUGGCGGCCGUACCUGCAGCAUGAUGAGUUCUUGAUCCGCACGGAUCAGCGCAGUUUGGUUCACCUCGAUGACCAACGUCUAUCUACGGUAUGGCAGCAAAAGGCUUUCACCAAGUUGCUCGGGCUACGAUACAAGAUUUCCUACAGGCAAGGCAGCACAAACAAUGCAGCAGAUGCGCUGUCCAGGCGCAGUCACGCUCAGGAAAGCGCUUUAGCCGUCUCGGUCCGUCAACCGGCUUGGAUAGACGAUGUCAGAGCAAGCUACAGCGACAACAAUCACGCCAACCAGCUCCUUGAACAAUUCUCCAAGCAAGAGGAUCCCAAAGGGCGUUUCUCUGUUUCGGAGGGGCUGUUAUACUUCAGAAACAGAUUGUGGCUCGGUGGCUCCCCUACUAUCCAACAGAAAGUUCUCCGCGCUUUCCAUGACAGUACAAUCGGUGGUCACUCAGGCUUCCCUGUGACCUACAGGCGUUUGCGGCGGCUGUUUGCCUGGCCCAAAAUGAAACAGGUCAUCAAGCAAUAUGUUCAGAGUUGUGUAAUCUGCCAGCAAGCAAAACCGGAGCGGGUCAAAUACCCGGGUCUGCUCGAACCAAUUCCGCUGCCUGAGGGUGCUUGGCAAGUUGUUACUAUGGAUUUCAUAGAUGGUCUUCCGCAAUCGGGCAAAGCAAACUGCAUUCUGGUCGUUGUAGACAAAUACACACGGUAUGCUCAUUUUUUGCCACUCCAACACCCAUUCACCUCAGCAAAAGUGGCCCUGUCAUACCUGGACAACGUUUACAAGCUCCAUGGGCUACCCAAAGCCAUCAUCUCAGAUCGGGAUCCAGUCUUUACCAGCAAGUUUUGGCGUGAGCUUUUCUCCAUCAUCGGCUCAGAGCUCAACAUGAGCACACCGUACCGUCCUCAGACAGAUGGUCAGUCAGAACGGGUGAAUCAAUGCCUUGAGAUAUAUCUUCGAUGUUUCAUCCAUGCAUGCCCAAAUCACUGGAGCCAGUUCCUCUCUCUCGCGGAAUUCUGGUACAACUCCAGUUACCAUUCUGCCCUGGACAUGUCACCCUUCCAUGCACUGUAUGGGCAUGAACCCAGGCAUUGGGGAAUCGAAGCAGCAUCAACUUGCACAAUCCCAGCCCUGAAGGACUGGCUGGAGGAGAGAAAAACAAUGCAGCAGGUCCUUAAGCAGCAUCUGCAUCGGGCUCGCCACAUCAUGAAGGUGCAAGCAGACAAGAAGCGCACGGACAGAGAAUUCAAUGUAGGGGAUGCCGUCUUCAUCAAAUUACAACCGUAUGUGCAAUCAUCCGUUCAUCGCCGAGCCAACCACAAGCUUGCCUUCAAAUACUUUGGUCCCUUCAAAGUGAUCCGCAAGAUUAACCCAGUCGCUUACGAGUUGGAGCUGCCACCGGAAUCCAAGAUUCACCCGGUGUUCCACGUCUCUCAGCUGCGGCAGGUCCUCACGCCAGGUACGGACGCCUCUGAUAAUUUGCCUGUACCUCGAUCUGCAGAGCUGGUUCCGGUGGAGAUGCUCGAUAGGCGCUGGCGGCAAACUCCUACCGGACGACGUGAGCAGUAUCUUGUGCGCUGGUCUGAUUCAGAGCUCCUGGACGCUACGUGGGAGGACGCCCUCGCGCUCAAAGCCCGCUAUCCUCUCGUAGCAGCUUGGGGACAAGCAUGCUCUCAAGGGGCAGGGGAUGUCAGCGUCCCAAAUACAGGUGCAGCCCGGGACAAGAUCAGCGCUGACAAGGCGGCAACAAGUCAGCUACAGGCGACCAAUCAGGGGAGAGAGCGCGUCAUCGCCAGGCCACCUAGGAUCAAGCAUCCGAGUCGCCGGUUCGUGGGCCCUGAAUGGAUGAAUGCUCUAUAAGCAAGCUCCAGCGAAGGAAACGGCACGGCUGGCACUUUCGUUUCCUUUUCUUCUUUCUUUCUUUCCAAGAGAACUCCUUCGGAGGAAGUGUGUCGUGAGAUAGAGACUGUAAUCCCCAAUCCAACGAGUGAAUAGAUCGGGCACCUAACAAGCGGCCUCACGCCACGCACGGCGGAGGCCUUGCACGCCGACAUUGUCCGCGUAAGCUGCAGGUGGAGUAGCAAGUUGUGCGGCUCGCACUCGUCCAUGUGGCCGCGUGAACUGCAGGUGAAGCUGCAGAUUUGUCUUAGGCGGUGACCGCGGCGAGCUCCAGCUCCCCUCAGCCCACGCGGAUCCAGCUCCAGGCUGCAGCAGCACCAACGCCCGCACGUCUGGCGGCCUCCGACGAGGUGUGGCUGCACGAGAAGAUGCGUUGACCGCUGAUCUCGUUUUGCCUUCUCCCAAUCUGAAGCAACACUGAUUCAGUUCAUGCAGAAUCAAAUGAGCUGAUUCAUCAACGCUGAUUCAGUUCGUCAAAUUAUUGCUACACCAAGUAGGAGAUAACCUGGCAGCUAAUCCCUCUAGCUUGUCGUCAGAUGCCAAUCGCAUGCGGCUUAAUCAAGAGGAUGGCAAUUGUAUAAAUUGUCGCCAAGGAACACAAGAUAUGUACAUUUGAAGUUCAAUCUUCAGUUUGGAUGUUUCGAUUGCCCUAUUUUAGGGCAGCUGUUGGAGACACUCACUUUCUCGUGCCCUAUAAAGCACUUUUUGGUGCCCCAAAUUUUACUCCAAAGAACUAGCCAUGGACAAUGGUGCGUGGAAGCUUGCUAUCCAUGUGCCAGAACCAUGAGUUGGUUGCGAGAUCUUGUGGAUUUCACGUCUAGCCUACCCCAACUUGUUUGGAACUAAAUGCUUUGUUGUUGUUGUAUAUGAGCUAUCGGUGAUGCUCUAAGCCGGUGGUCUAAGUCCUCGUUUUUUAAGGCUUUGUAGCAACGCACGGGGAUUGUGCUAGUAUAACAAUGCUAUCCUUGAAAUGAGUUUUUUGAAUUGUACCUUAUGCUCGUAGAAACGCACCUAGGUGGUCACCUCACAUUGUCAAUGUUCCCAAUCGAAGGACCAUGUUCUUUCGAUUGUAAAUCGAUUUGAUUAAGUAUUUUGAUUCUCGAAAUUUA